GGGCCCGUAGCUCAGUUGGCCAGAGCACUGGUUUUGCAUACCAGGGGUCAGGAGUUCAAAUCUCCUCGGGUCCACCA
rnacentral:tRNA from 2 species